rnacentral:misc_RNA from 1 species
AGCAGCCGCGGUAAUUCCAGCUCCAAUAGCGUAUAUUAAAGUUGUUGCAGUUAAAAAGCUCGUAGUUGAACUUCAGGCCUGUCCAGACGGUCCGCCUUAAUUGGUGUGUACUGUCCUUGGGUGGGUCCUACCUUCUGGCGAAGCGGCAUGGCCUUAAUUGGUUGUGUCGGGGAACCAGGACUUUUACUGUGAAAAAAUUAGAGUGUUCAAAGCAGGCAAAUAUGCUCGAAUACAUUAGCAUGGAAUAAUGGAAUAGGACGAUGGUUCUAUUUUGUUGGUUCUAGGACCGUUGUAAUGAUUAAUAGGGAUAGUUGGGGGCAUUAGUAUUCAAUUGUCAGAGGUGAAAUUCUUGGAUUUAUUGAAGACUAACUACUGCGAAAGCAUUUGCCAAGGAUGUUUUCAUUAAUCAAGAACGAAAGUUAGGGGAUCGAAGACGAUCAGAUACCGUCGUAGCCUUAACCAUAAA